GCGGGGCGAGGAAAGCAUACUUACCUGGCAGGGGAGAUACCAUGAUCACGAAGGUGGUUUUCCCAGGGCGAGGCUUAUCCAUUGCACUCCGGAUGUGCUGACCCCUGCGAUUUCCCCAAAUGUGGGAAACUCGACUGCAUAAUUUGUGGUAGUGGGGGACUGCGUUCGCGCUUUCCCCUGCAUUUUUCUCUUUCUGGUGUGCACCAAAAGAAGGCCGCUUGAGGGUUGACUUUUUCUUUUUUUUCUUACCGCGUGGCCGGUUCUGAUUUGUUCUUUUACUCCUCGGAAGGCCUGCCGUGGGGAUUGUGUGUUGUUUCUUCUUUGACGGUGGGGGACGUUUCUGAGCCCCGGCUUUAUGGGCGUUUGCUCGGGCGCUACGCUGCAAGGCAGGCAUUUGCUUUCGCGAGAGAGAGAGACUUGCUCAGAGAAGGGAAGUGCUCCGCUGGGGGCUGCGAGUCUUUAGGCGGGGGGUGUGUUUUUUUUUCCCUACGCGUUGCAGCCGGCGAGGGAGAAAAAUGCGGCUCGUGCGUGCGGUCGCUCAUCAACUGAGAACCCGGAGAUCCAGACGAGGCAAGUCACAGGUGGUUGCGAGUGACCUUGAGGGCCCCGCCCCCCCGCGCCCUGAUGCGAAUGCAAGCUUACUUCUCACGAACGACGCCGGCGGUUUUAGCUUAACACUGAGAUCUGGAAGAUGGGCCGGGAACAAAACUCGCACGCAGGGUUGACCAGAAUGAAAGGUGCCUCCCCCCGCCCCCCAUUCGAACGUUGAAGACCUAUGUGACUGUAUGUGGAGAUAAGGUCUUUAAGGAGGGAGGAUUCACUGGGUUGGCAGGAGAUUUCAUUUUCCCCAACAAUCUGGCAUUGAAAGCACGACUGGUCUGGCGGUUCUGGAUUUGAGUCAGCUAAAAUGUCUUGUGGCCACACAACAGUAAACCAGCCCUACCAAUCCAGAUUACAAGCAAAGCCAAGACCAUUGAGAAGCCACAGCCUCCAAUACCUUGUCCUUCACGUGCCCUUCUCACCCGCUGUUAUCAUCUGAAGGCUUUUCAGUGCCCCAGGCACU